rnacentral:tRNA from 1 species
GAGGGUAUAGCUCAAUAGAGUGCAUGCUUAGCAUGCAUGAGGUCCUGGGUUUGAUCCCCAGUACCUCCA